GACGAACGCUGGCGGCGUGCUUAACACAUGCCAGUCGUACGGUAAGGCCCUUUCGGGGGUACACGAGUGGCGCACGGGUGAGUAACACGUGAGUAACCUGCCCACAACUUUGGGAUAACGCUAGGAAACUGGUGCUAAUACUGGAUAUGUGCCCCUGCUGCAUGGUGGGGGUUGGAAAGCUCCGGCGGUUGUGGAUGGACUCGCGGCCUAUCAGCUUGUUGGUGGGGUAGUGGCCUACCAAGGCGGCGACGGGUAGCCGGCCUGAGAGGGUGACCGGCCACAUUGGGACUGAGAUACGGCCCAGACUCCUACGGGAGGCAGCAGUGGGGAAUAUUGCACAAUGGGCGCAAGCCUGAUGCAGCAACGCCGCGUGCGGGAUGACGGCCUUCGGGUUGUAAACCGCUUUCAGCAGGGACGAAGCUUUUUGUGACGGUACCUGCAGAAGAAGCACCGGCUAACUACGUG
rnacentral:rRNA from 1 species